rnacentral:rRNA from 1 species
GACGAACGCUGGCGGCGUGCUUAACACAUGCAAGUCGAACGGAAAGGCCCUGCUUUUGUGGGGUGCUCGAGUGGCGAACGGGUGAGUAACACGUGAGUAACCUGCCCUUGACUUUGUGAUAACUUCAGGAAACUGGGGCUAAUACCGGAUAGGAGCUCCUGCUGCAUGGUGGGGGUUGGAAAGUUUCGGCGGUUGGGGAUGGACUCGCGGCUUAUCCGCUUGUUGGUGGGGUAGUGGCUUACCAAGGCUUUGACGGGUAGCCGGCCUGAGAGGGUGACCGGCAACAUUGGGACUGAGAUACGGCCCAGAAUCCGACGGGAGGCAGCAGUGGGGAAUAUUGCACAAUGGGCGGAAGCGUGAUGCAGCAACGCCGCGUGCGGGAUGACGGCCUUCGAGUUGUAAACCGAUUUCGCCUGUGACGAAGCGUGAGUGACGGUAAUGGGUAAAGAAGCACCGGCUAACUACGUG